AAGAAUUGACCAAGUUGUUGAAGUUGUGGUUGUUGACCUGGAAUCAAAAUUGUUUAAAUUUAUCUCGUUAUUUAAACAGCAGUUUGGCAAAGUCGAUAUUCUAUAUCGAUAAAGUUACGUUAACCUCUUCGAUAUAAGCGUCAAUUUUAAUCGAUAGUUACCAAAUGAGUAUAAGUAUGUACAGCAUUAUCAUAGUUAUAUUAAUAAUAUAAUUUUUUAUUUUUUGAUUAAUUUUUCUAAGUUACUUCUUUUAUUUAUUAGAAAGAAAUUUUAUAUGUUAUAAUACGUUUAUUAUAAAAAAAAUGUUUAAUAUGAAAACGUUACACUUGCUCGGUCGUUAAAUAAUUCACACUAUGCAACAAGUGUCAUAAAAGAGUUUAUAACGAUAGUACAUUUUGAAUGUGAAACAUACCUGUUUGAUAUUGUUCUGGCAUCUUUUGAGGAAAGCUGUUUAAAAGAUCGUAAAGUUGAGUUGCUGAAAGCGGAGGGCCUGCAGGAGCCGGAUGACCAACAUGUAGAUCAGGUAUUUGUUGAUUUAUAAUAUACGGAGUCUGACCAGCUGUACCAGGGAAACCAACGUGCAAUGAACUAUGAAGAUUAGUUUGCAUCGGUAGGUUGGGCUGUCCGAGUUGAAUGUUUGUUCCGAUGAGGCCUAUAUUCGACGCUGGAUGAUUAUUUAAAUAAACAUCAUUUGUUUGUAAGUCAGGAUUCACCAAUGUUGAAAGAGUUGCAAAAUCUGGAGGCAAGAAUGUCGGUAAAACGGUCUGAUAUUCUUUUUGACUAAUAUCAUUGCUUUCAGUUACUUCGUAAUUAUGCGCUGGAGUGGGACUCGUUACAGUUUUCUGCGGUGUUAAACUCGUGCUAAUAGUAGCAAGAUCAAAAUUUGAAUCUAACCAUGUGGAUUGAUUUUGUAAGCAGCAUCAGUUGUUUGUUGACGUGAAUUUUCUUCUAUAUUCGCUUCAUUAUUGAAAGGCUUAUCCAUGGGACUCAGAUUAGGCGCAGGAAUCGUAUGAAUUGGUCCCUUGUCAUCAUCGACACCACCUCUAUGAGUUGGUGGCAAAACAGCAGCUUCCGGUCUGUAUUCAGGACUAUAUUCCGGCAUUUUAUUUACGGUAUGGAAUUCUUUAACUGGUGGACGUUGUGGUAAAACCGCAUGAUUAUUUAAAGAAGUUCUUAUUGGAAUCUGGUUUUUCCAAAUGGUAGAUGGCACAUUGAACAUCGGAGGUCGACGAAUUCUGGAAUAAGGGAUAGAUCGAGAAAAUGUCACGUUCGAUGAAAAAUGAUUUUUUUCUAUAUAUUCUCAAAGAUUCACCUAUAAUUCGACGGUUUGUGAGUUAUUCGUUUCAAUGGGAAAUUUCCAUUGAUAUGCAUUGUAUUUCCCAUCGAAAUUCUAUGAGUAAUUGGCCAUGAUUUCUUGAACAUCAGUUUAGGAGGCUGUGGGGGAGGCAAUGGGGGUCUUCUAAUCUUGUAUCUAGCUUCAACAAGGCAGAUACACGCGAUCAAUAGCCAACACAUCCAAUUUGUCGUCUGAAAUU